GCAUGUAGUGCGCUUUGAAAUUUAAUACGUAAGAUAUGUACUCUAAUUUAUUUACUUUUACGUGGUUACCUAGGUCUUUCUUGUGCUUGUGUAAAUUUUUUCCGCUGCAUCAGCAAUUCGAGCUAAUAAAAUAAGUUAUAUGUACAUAUCUUCAACAUGUCUGAAAUGCGUAUCCGUCCACGACAAGUACUCGUACUUAUUAUAGUGUUCCUUGUGAUAUUGCUGAUGGUUCAUCGUAAUGGUAAACGCACAUGCCAGGGUCCGGAGUUUUUACAGACCAUGUACGCUCGGCAUGUGGAAGGCACUUUACCAACAAUUUAUGCCAUAACACCAACGUAUGCACGGCCAUCGCAAAAAGCUGAAUUAACGAGAUUGUCUCAUAUUUUCAUGCUUGUGCCCAACUUGCAUUGGAUCAUCAUUGAAGACGCUAAUACAACUACGUCACUUGUGCGCAACUUGUUGACGCGUGCUGGUUUGGCGGAACGUUCAACACAUCUCCACAUUAAAACCCCGGUAAAUUUUAAAUUAAGAGGCAAAGAUCCCAAUUGGCUGAAACCACGUGGCGUUGAACAACGAAAUUUGGCACUAAGUUGGAUACGUACAAAUGUAGAUCCACAGCGGCAAAGUGUAAUAUUUUUUAUGGAUGAUGACAAUUCUUACAGUGUUGAACUUUUUGCUGAAAUGGCUAAAAUUGAAGCUGGCCGAGUUGGUAUAUGGCCAGUCGGUUUAGUAGGUGGUCUAAUGGUGGAAAAACCAUUACUCAAUGCUGAUAAAACCCAAGUUGUUGGCUUUAAUGCUGCAUGGCGGCCAGAACGACCAUUUCCCAUAGAUAUGGCGGCAUUUGCCAUUAGCACGGAUUUGCUAUUCAAAUAUCCACAGGCACAAUUUGCUUAUGAAGUGGAACGUGGCUACCAAGAAAGUGAGAUUUUGCGACACAUAACAACAAAACAACAACUUCAACCCUUAGCAAAUAAUUGUCGAGAUGUACUGGUUUGGCAUACGCGUACGGAGAAAACUAAUUUGGCAGCUGAACUAAAAUUAAAUAAAGCAGGAAAACGAUCAGAUGAAGGCAUGGAAGUUUAACAUGAGAAUGCAGUUGAAGAGACGGCAGUUAUUAACCGAGUUUUGCCUGGUUUGAUACAUGAACAUACAUAUACAAUAACGUAAAGCCAUUUAACAAAAGCAUAUCUAAAGAAAAUGGUCGUGAUAUGAUAUACAUAGAUAUGAUAUAUUUAGCUAAGAACUAUACAUAUGUACGUUAUAUAUAAGUAGAUAGGUAUCUCAAAGUGCUUCCAAAUAUGUACAUACAUACAUGUAUGAAUGCAUUUUGUAGAUUGGUACAAUUACCAAAUGGGAAAUGAUGAUAAAUAGUUUUAUGGCAAUCUAAAGUAAAUAACAAUUACUUUAUAUAGUGACAAUAAGGGAAUUUAAAAUAUUUAGAAAUUUUCAAAAUAUGCAUACGAUAUUAAAUAAGUCUGCAUUUUAUGAAAAAUUGUAUGUAAUAUUUCCUUUUGCCACAAAGUAGCUGCGCAAUGUAAGAUAAUUGAAAAUGGUAGCCAUAUGUCUGAAC